rnacentral:rRNA from 1 species
AUACCCGGGUAGUCCCAGCUGUGAACGAUGCAGGCUAGGUGUUUGGACGGCCACGUGCCGUUCUAGUGCCGCAGGGAAGCUGUUAAGCCUGCCGCCUGGGGAGUACGAUCGCAAGAUUGAAACUUAAAGGAAUUGGCGGGGGAGCACCACAAGGGGUGAAGCUUGCGGUUUAAUUGGAGUCAACGCCGGAAAUCUCACCGGGAGCGACAGCAGUAUGAAGGCCAGAUUAAAGGUCUUGCCAGACGAGCUGAGAGGAGGUGCAUGGCCGUCGCCAGUUCGUGCCGUGAGGUGUCCUGUUAAGUCAGGCAACGAUCGAGACCCGCGUCCUCUGUUGCAACUAGCCUUGAGCUGGGCACACUGAGGAGACCGCCGCUGAUAAAGCGGAGGAAGGAGCGGGCCACGGCAGGUCAGUAUGCCCCGAAUCUCCCGGGCCACACGCGAGCUGCAAUGGCAGGUACAAUGGGUUCCGACCUCGUAAGGGGAAGGCAAUCUCGAAAGCCUGCCGUAGUUGGGAUCGAGGGUUGAAACUCACCCUCGUGAACAUGGAAUCCCUAGUAAUCGC